UUGGAUCAUUAUGUUCAAUGGGUUUUAGAAAUAACCGGCAUAAUGAUUUGAUAUAAAAGCUUUUUGAAACCAAACAAGGCAAUCAUUAUGCAGAUGAAAAGUUUGAUUUUAUUUUUCAGGUUUUUUUGUGAUCACUGAUUUCAUGCAAAAGCAAAAAGUGAAAACAAAUGGAAAAACAAAUGUUUAAUAAUGCAUUAAUUGAAUGAAAUAUCAUUGUAUAUAUGAUGCCGAC
rnacentral:lncRNA from 1 species